UCCUACCGGUGGUAGCAGUUGGGAAUCUUCCACAAUGGACGAAAGUCUAAUGGAGCACCGCCGCGUGAGCGAUGAAGGUUUUCGGAUGGUAAAGCUCUGUUUCAGGGAAGAACAAGUACCCGUUUCUCCGCCCGCGACUGACGGUACCUCAAGAAAAGCCCCGGCUACCUCCG
rnacentral:rRNA from 1 species